AACUCACAGCAAGGUAAUUGAAUUUAGUGAGAAAAACAUUAAGAAGUCUGAAUAAUGUGCAGCCAAGUGGAUAGAAGUGGAAGAAAGUCUUGAAAGCAAAUGUGCUGCAACACAAAGAGGACAGACAAGUCGUGAAACCAGGAAAACAUUGUGAAGCAACUGGAACUGAAAGGAGGCAGCAGUGUAUCCCGGGUUACCAUGCCGCGUGCUAUCGUCACUUCUGCAACAUUACAACAAUAAAUCGAGCUAUAGCAAGGUCUAGAAGGAAGAAAGGCUGCUGUACAUUCAAAAUGUCUGUAACAGUUUCCACAAAUUCCCAGUCCAAAGGGACAUGGGUGGAAAAUUGUAGGCAGUGAAUUGGACAUUGACUGGGCUGAUCUGCCUCCAGCCCCAAGCACCUUGCUAGAAUUAACAUAUUGUUCAUGCAAGAAAACAAGCUGUGAGAAGUCAAGUACAGGGAACGGAAGAUGCUCAUGUCAACAGCAUGGUGUGCCAUGUACAGAUUUAUGUAAGUGUGUUGACUGCAGAAACUCUCUUACUACAAUAGAUUUGGAAUCUGAUGAAGAAUAUUCAGAUGAAGAUUAGAUGGAAUGUAAACCAAAAGAUUGGGGAAAUAAAUGAUUAUAUAAAGUA